UAUUGAAUUGGGCUUAGUCGACCAACUGAACUCCUCAUUGUACAUUCGAAAAAAAAGGAACGUAGCAACAGAGGAUUACUCGACCACCGAAUUGAGUGAAGUCAACGAUCCUUUUACCGACCGAACAACAGGUAGUCGGUAAAUAAGUAUUUACCGACCGCCCUAGCAGACGGUAAAAAGUUAUUUACCGACCGACUAAAAUAACGGUUGGUAAAAUAGCUACUUUUCCAAAAACAAUUGCCGACUGCUCUUGACUAACCAAACCCUAAAACAUACCCUCGCCUGCCUCUUUCUCACAGCCGCUCAAAAUCUUCUCUCACCUACCUCCUCUCUUUCUCUCACUUGUCUCCUCCCCCUUUCUUUGGAUCCCCCAUCUUUCUCUCACCUUACCUCCAUCUUCGUCUCUCUGAUACUCUCAUCCUCUCAGGCUCUCAUCUCCAUUUAUUCAUUUCUUGUUACUUCUCUCUCAUUCUCUUCUCAAUCAUAUACAAAACACAAUAAUAAAUAAUAAAUAACAAAAUCAAAACAAUAUAAAUAAAAAAUUACAAGAACAAGUUUGGGUGCUUGUGUUGAUUUUUGAAAGGUUGGUCCUUGGAGAUUUGUCCUCUUCAUCUCUUGUCGUUUGCCCAUGGAGACUUCGAAAGGUUCGUGGUGAUUGGGGGUGAGAAAUCAGAUCAAACUACACGUCGACGAUGGCGUCUCCGUUCAGUUUCUAUUGUUGCAACUUAGGCGUUUCUUUGGGCAUAUAUCAGCUACCCUUUUCUUAUGGAAGAAUUCCCUUAUUUAAGGAUUCUGAGGCAAAACUCAUGCUAUUUCAAGAUUUGUCGAUCUUCUUGGUGAUUUUUUUUAAUUUAGGUGGUUGUAAAUAUUUUUCUUUCCAUUUAUUUUAGAUGUUUAGACCCAGUUAGAAUUCUUAAUUUUUUGGACGUAAUUAUUUUGGUUAUCUAAAUUUAUCAAACAUUUAUUUUUAGUGAUUAAA